GACGAACGCUGGCGGCGUGCCUAAUACAUGCAAGUCGAACGCUUCUUUCCUCCCGAGUGCUUGCACUCAAUUGGAAAGAGGAGUGGCGGACGGGUGAGUAACACGUACGUAACCUACCCAUCAGAGGGGGAUAACACUUGGAAACAGGUGCUAAUACCGCAUAACAGUUUAUGCCGCAUUGCAUAAGAGUGAAAGGCGCUUUCGGGUGUCGCUGAUGGAUGGACCCGCGGUGCAUUAGCUAGUUGGUGAGGUAACGGCUCACCAUGGCCACGAUGCAUAGCCGACCUGAGAGGGUGAUCGGACACACUGGGACUGAGACACGGCCCAGACUCCUACGGGAGGCAGCAGUAGGGAAUCUUCGGGAAUGGACGAAAGUCUGACCGAGCAAAGCGGCGGGAGUGAAGAAGGAGUUCGGAUCGUAAAACUCUGUUGUUAGAGAAGAAGAAGGGCGUUAGUAACUGAACGGACCAUGACGGUAUCUAAAGAGAAAGCCACGGCUAACUACGUG
rnacentral:rRNA from 1 species